rnacentral:rRNA from 1 species
GACGAACGCUGGCGGCGUGCCUAAUACAUGCAAGUCGAACGCAGUGGGGACGGGUGAGUAACACUUGGUUAACCUCCCCUCAGAGGGGAUAACACUUGGAAACAGGUUCUAAACCGAUAAUGAUUGCUGACCCCGAGGUGCAUUAGCUAGUUGGUGAGGUAACGGCUCACCAAGGCCACGAUGCAUAGCCGAGCUGAGAGGGUGAUCGGCCACACUGGGACUGAGACACGGCCCAGACUCCUACGGUAGGCAGCAUUAGGGAAUCUUCGGCAAUGUACGAAAGUCUGACCGAGCAACGCCGCGGGUGUGAAGAAGGUUUUCGGAUCGUAAAACUCUGUUGUUAGAGAAGCGGUAUCUACCCAGAAAGCCACGGCUAACUACGUGCCAGCAGCCGCGGUAAUAC